GCGUAACCGCUCCUGAGUUCUUCCUUAAUCGAGUGCGCGCGCGCGCCUGGGUUCCGCCUCCUCCACGAGUGAGAGAGCGCGCAUAGGUUUUCUAUUCGUUCCCCUCUCCCCUCCCCCCCCCUGCCUUUACGAUCGUAAGCGAGCUUGAGUUAGUGGGCGGGGCCGGAUAACUCGUCACGUGGUCUUUCCGUGUCUAUGGAGUCUGUACGGCUGUUCUGCGACUCUACCGUUCCCCCUGAGUGAAGUAGUUGGUGGUUGUAGUGCGCGCCUUACCUCGUUCUACAGCCCUGGCGGGUAUUCCAGCGCCCUAGGUAGUGGCUUGCUUGGUCCACUCUCUGUAAGCUGCGUUAAAUGUUAGAAUACUGUCCUCUCUUACUGCUCCUGAGGCCCACGAAAAUUGGCCAUCGGUUCUCGGAAAUGUUGCAAACCCAUACGGGAAGGACGUUGUCUUUUUUUUUUCCUUUUUCUUCUACCGGAGUUGGGGAGAAAAGAUGCAAAAAAGAGGAGAAAAUGUGCAAAAAGCUAUCAGGUUCUACGAUUUGUCUCGUUCUCCUGAACAGUCUCGCAAUGCAAGAAAAGAAGGUAUUCAAGAUGAAAUUUAAGGAAAAAUCCUCUUCAGCUGACUUCAUAGCCAUUGGAACAAAUUGUUCUCAUCUGUCCAGUCCACCAAGGGAAGAACUCACAGGCUUGGGGCAGACAUCCUGCCAGCUUGCCAACAGUUUUGAGGCCUGUUGGUUACCCUCAACUGGAUUUAGCCCAUCUGCCCAGAAAGUUUUGCCAGGAUGUGGCCACUGUAUACUAGAGCUUCUUGGAGCUGCUGGUCAGAGCUGGGUGAAAGGUAGACACCAAAG